rnacentral:tRNA from 1 species
AAGAUUCUAGUAAAAUCGUCUAUUACACUGCCUUGUCAAGGCCGAAUUGUGGGUUAAAGCCCCACGUAUCUUG